rnacentral:lncRNA from 1 species
UUACUUAAUUUAAAUGCUGCCAAAGUUAAUAAUGAAAGACAACAUCCUCUGGUGUGUCAGAGCUCAGUGCCCAAGAAGAAAAGCAAGAGUGCCUUUCUGCACUCCUGUCUUUGCUAAAGGCAACCUGGAAAAAAACUAGAGCAGAUUCAGGGAUACUGUAAUUAGCAGGAUUUAAAAUGAUCUCUGCAGGUCACUUUUCUUGGCCCAGAAUUGCCCAAGAACUCGACACCUGAACCGGAGGUCUGAGGUGCCUGUGCCAUCAGAGGGUGCCCACAGUGUAUGUGCCACCCACAGGUACUCCAGGAAAACAAACUGCCUUGGAACAUCAGCUUUCCUUCACAGAAAUGAUGGAAAGUGGGAAGAGCACAGUUCAAAGAUUCAUUCCAGGAUUUUUGCUAGUACCUACUUUCUCUUUUUCACAUCAAGAACACCGAGCAGCACUGAAGAGAAGAAACUGCAUCAUCUAACUGCUGGAAGAGAUGAAACUCUGUGCAGCCCUUCAUGUCAAAUAAUAAAGGGUAAUUAAAAGUUGUGUCUUUCCCCCUGCUGAGGAGAGGGGCUUGACCAAAGCCAUUUGGUGCAUGGAACACCAAACCCAAGCUGACUGUUGGUAUCAGUAGUGUGGGUGGCACCUGUGAACCAAGUUCUCCAUAACCAGAGGAGUUAUAGCCUUUUUUAAAUAUAUACUUCCUGAAAUCAGGCAGAUCAAACAGAAAAUUAAGAUUUAAAAAUUAUAUUUAUUCAAUUUAUUUAAUUAUUAAAUUUAAAAUUAAAUUUUAUAAAGGUCAAGCAGAAAUUAACACACUGGCUGAGAAUGAGACUUUCCCAGUGAGACAGCGCAAGACUAUUUAAAAAACUGCCCUAAACAGCAGAGUCAUCAGCGUUCCUGGUACUGCAGCUGUGUAUCUUUGAAAAUCAGGCACCCUUUAAGCACAUUUUCAUCAUAAUAUAACCAAUAUACAUUUUAUUAUGUUUCCUUUCCCUGUUCUACUUCUGGUUUAACCAUGUGUGAACCAAGCUAACAUGAUUAGACACCUUGUUUUUCACCAGUCAUUUCUGUUUGCAGUCUUCCAUAAAGUGCUUCAAAUGAAUUUUAAUAUGUUGAUGGUACUUACUGGAGAGAUUAAUAUUCAUAAUAAAUACCCCUUAGAAAUAAUCUUCA